rnacentral:misc_RNA from 1 species
UGGCUCAGUUCAGAUCGUAGGCUGCAACUCGCCUACGUGAAGUAGGAAUCGCUAGUAAUCGCAGGUCAGCAUACUGCGGUGAAUACGUUCCCGGGCCUUGUACACACCGCCCGUCACACCAUGGAAGUUGGCCACGCCCGAAGCCGUUACUCCAACCCUUGUGGAGGAGGACGUCGAAGGUGGGGCUGAUGACUGGGGUGAAGUCGUAACAAGGUAGCCGUACCGGAAGGUGCGGCUGGAUCACCUCCUAACAGGGAGACAAACAACGAUUUUGAUGUCUGAGUAUUUGUAUUCUCAGGCCGAAAUCCUGUCACCUUAGGUCGAUCGGUACCUCAGCAUUGAUAGCAAUGAUUGAUGAGCAAUCAUCAGGAGAUUGAAGGAGAUGUUCAGUUCCUAAACUUUGUCUAGGUCACACCCCAAAAGGGAUGAGACUCCUGGGCCAUUAGCUCAGGUGGUUAGAGCGCACCCCUGAUAAGGGUGAGGUCCCUGGUUCAAGUCCAGGAUGGCCCAUUCGGUGUUGGGGGUUUAGCUCAGUUGGUAGAGCGCCUGCUUUGCAAGCAGGAUGUCAGGAGUUCGAGUCUCCUAACCUCCACUGACCGAACUGUAUCCCCAUCUCCAAGGAUUUGGAGUUGAGCUCGAUUGGCGUGUGAUUUAGAUGUGUCCGCUGGAUGACCCCAGCUUCCUGUCAUUCCAAAUGAAAGCAAAGGAAAAUUGCUUGUUGAGUUUGGUUGAUAAGAUGCU